rnacentral:lncRNA from 11 species
GGAACAUGUUUUGCCUGACUACAGGAAUAUACAGUCAUGCAAAGAUAGUGACCUUGGACUCUUCAAGCAAGUACAACACUCCAGGAACUGUUGAUGUUCCCUACUUCUCAGACACUCUCCCCAACCUGUCAAAGAAGCCAACAACUGUAGACAGAGACACUAACCAUUCAAGACAACCAGACAGAUGGAACUACUG